rnacentral:rRNA from 1 species
AAUAAACGCUGGCGGCGUGCUUAACACAUGCAAGUCGAACGAGAAAGUUUUAGCUUGCUAGAACGAGUAAAGUGGCGCACGGGUGAGUAACGCGUGGGUAAUUUACCCUUGAAUUUGGAAUAACGUUGCGAAAGCGACGCUAAUACCGGAUGACAUAUUUUUUUCUGCGGAAUGAGAUAUCAAAGAGAGCCUCUACAUGUAAGCUUUCGUUUGAGGAUAAGCCCGCGUACCAUUAGCUUGUUGGUAGGGUAAUGGCCUACCAAGGCUACGAUGGUUAGCUGGUCUGAGAGGAUGAUCAGCCACACUGGAACCGACACACGGUCCAGACUCCUACGGGAGGCAGCAGUGAGGAAUUUUGCGCAAUGGGGGAAACCCUGACGCAGCAACGCCGCGUGAGUGAUGAAGGCCUUAGGGUCGUAAAGCUCUGUCAAGUGGGAAGAACAAGCUUGGUGUUAAUAGCAUUAAGCCCUGACGGUACCACUGGAGGAAGCACCGGCAAACUCCGUGCCAGCAGCCGCGGUAAUACGGGGGGUGCAAGCGUUAUUCGGAAUCAUUGGGCGUAAAGGGAGCGCAGGCGGUCUUGUAAGUCAGAUGUGAAAGCCCGGGGCUUAACCCCGGAAGUGCAUUUGAAACUAUAAGACUUGAGUAUGGGAGAGGAAAGCGGAAUUCCUGGUGUAGAGGUGAAAUUCGUAGAUAUCAGGAGGAACAUCGGUGGCGAAGGCGGCUUUCUGGACCAAUACUGACGCUGAGGCUCGAAGGCGUGGGGAGCAAACAGGAUUAGAUACCCUGGUAGUCCACGCAGUAAACGUUGAUCACUAGGUGAAGCGGG